GUCUGUAUGAAGUUAUAUAGAGUCUGGCCUGCCCAUUGAAAAAAUUUUGAAAGGCCGCGGUAUAUUAACUGUGCAAAGGUAGCAUAAUCAUUAGUUUUUUAAUUGGAAACUUGUAUGAAGGGUCUGACAAAGAAAAAGCUGUCUUUAAUUUUAUUUUUGAAUUUAACUUUUAAGUGAAAAGGCUUAAGUAAAUUUAAGGGACGAUAAGACCCUAUAAAUCUUUAUAUUAUAUUAUUAUCUUAAAAUUUAAUUUAGUUUGUUUAUAUUUUAUAAGAAAAUAAUAAAUAUUUUGUUGGGGUGACAAGAAUAUAAAAUAAACUGUUCUUUAUAAAAACAAAUUUGUUUGUUAAAUAAAAUAAUAGAUCCUUUUUAAAGAUUAAAAGUUUAAGUUACUUUAGGGAUAACAGCGUUAUUUUUUUUGAGAGUUCUUAUCGAAAAAAAAGUUUGCGACCUCGAUGUUGAAUUAAAAUUUCUUUACGGUGUAGAAGUUGUGGAAGAGAGUCUGUUCGACUUUUAAAAUUUU
rnacentral:rRNA from 1 species